rnacentral:misc_RNA from 1 species
ACCACCGAUCCCUGAAAUAGAAGUAGUCCGGUCUUCUCCUCAAUAAGAAGAACCACCGCCUCCACCUGCCCCUUCGAGUGCGGAAGGUGGUCCUUCCCAACCUACUAUGAGAACCCUUUCCCGCGAUGCCCAGGUCCUCGUUCAUUCCUUGGAGAAGAACCGAUCUGUACGGGAGAACCUGAGCUUGGCAAAGGUUCUGGGAGCUUCCAUAUGCCUCCAGGAGGAUCGGCACAGGCUGACCCAGGGCAGCAUCGACGAUCUCCUGGCCCAAACGAUGAGCUUGAGCGUGGAGAGCUUGGUAAACCAACACAUAAUCAGAGAAAAGGCUCAUCUUCUGAGGCAAGAAAUCCUGAAGGCAGUCCAGGAUGCAGCUUCCGCCCGAGCUCAACUUUCAUCUGCCCAGGACUAUAUAGUUGAAAUUGAGGGUCGGAUGAAAUCCUAUGAGGAUAAAUUGGCCGAGUAGGCUCAUGAACUCGAAGAAGCUCGGGCGCUCCGAACUGCUGACGUCGCUCGCCUUACUAAAGAACUUAGAGCGAAAGAAGAAGAGUCAGUGACGAGGGAGGCCAGUGCUUAUGUGAAUGCCCAUGGGAAUCUUUUGGCCGAGCUCAAGAAGCGU